UACGUAGGGUGCAAGCGUUGUCCGGAAUUAUUGGGCGUAAAGAGCUCGUAGGCGGUCUGUUGCGUCGGCUGUGAAAACCCGGGGCUCAACUCCGGGCCUGCAGCCGAUACGGGCAGACUAGAGUACUGCAGGGGAGACUGGAAUUCCUGGUGUAGCGGUGGAAUGCGCAGAUAUCAGGAGGAACACCGGUGGCGAAGGCGGGUCUCUGGGCAGUAACUGACGC
rnacentral:rRNA from 1 species